AACGAACGCUGGCGGCGCGCCUAAUACAUGCAAGUCGAGCGAGAAGACGUAGCAAUACGUUUGUAAAGCGGCGAACGGGUGAGGAAUACAUGGGUAACCUACCCUCGAGUGGGGAAUAACUAGCCGAAAGGUUAGCUAAUACCGCGUACGCUCCUUGGACUUCGGUUCAGGGAGGAAAGCGAUACCGUGGGUAUCGCGCUCUUGGAUGGGCUCAUGUCCUAUCAGCUUGUUGGUGAGGUAACGGCUCACCAAGGCUUCGACGGGUAGCUGGUCUGAGAGGACGAUCAGCCACACUGGCACUGCGACACGGGCCAGACUCCUACGGGAGGCAGCAGUAAGGAAUAUUGCGCAAUGGGCAAAGCCUGACGCAGCGACGCCGCGUGGGGAUGAAGGUCUUCGGAUUGUAAACCCCUUUCGGGAGGGAAGAUGGAACGAGCAAUCGUUCGGACGGUACCUCCAGAAGCAGCCACGGCUAACUUCGUGCCAGCCGCCGCCGUAA
rnacentral:rRNA from 1 species